AAGGACAUAGCUCAGUGGGGGAGCGAUAUGACCAUAAAGGGUCUGAAACGUACGCGGGUUCGAUUCCUGCUGUUCUUA
rnacentral:tRNA from 1 species